rnacentral:lncRNA from 1 species
AGCCGGGCUCUGCACCCUGCCUGAGCUGGCUCCCAGCAGCUACGAGCCCGCCCCCCUCCCCACCGUUGACACACACGCGUGUUCCCGAGCUGGAGUUCAAUGUCAACGCAGCUUCCUGACCAUAAAUCCGCAGCGUCCGCAGCCCCCUCUCUGAACACAGGGACUCUAAGGGCUACGGGGAUGGGUGGGCGUGAGGAAGGAAUGGGGGCCCACGCGGGAAGAGACAGAUCGCCGGGGGAGGGCGCCAUUCUUCCAUCCGAGCGCCCGCUGUCGGGUUCUCUGUGACUUCCACAUCUCAGGACCCUUCACUGGUCAUCCAUGCAAAGUAGGCCUCUCUUGGACAUUAUCGCCUGUGGCAUCCCGAUCGUGGCGGGGCCGGGGGAAAAAGGAAAAGAUGGGAAAGAAGGCUGCACAGCUGCGGGGCUGGAGGCACCCAUGCCGGAGGGGGCAUUGUUGGCUUUCUAAAAGUCUGCGGUCCUGGAGUCCAUGGAGGGUUCUGUUUGUGGGAGAAAGGAUGUGGUGUCUUACUAGGGUUUUUCCGUUGCGCGAGCGCGCUUGCGUGUGCACACACACACACACACACACACACACAGAGUAGCAUAUACGGUUUGCAUUGGGAGUAGAGGGUGAGGAGAACGAGCGGAAUACAAGUACACCCGGCUAGCCUUAGCUCCCAGAGCCCAUCUGAUAGAAAACACAGAGUUGAGAGACUGACUCCUUCAUAGCCCAGGAAUUGCAGUUCCGGUGUCUAUCUUGGAGACUAAACUGCUGUGCAGCCCCUACAGCCAGGAAGAACGGAGUCUGACUCAGUACCCAGCGCUGCCCCGCUGUGGCCUCUGUUUCAAUUACUCUUGUAAAACAGCUUCCUAACCUUGACCUAUGUGCAUAAAGGGACUGGGGAAAGGGAGAGCCGUGGUCGAAAACUAAACACAAUUAAAUGUGAUUUAAAAUAAGUCUGCACCCUGAAAGAAAAGCGUACUGGUUAUAUCCAGCAAAAAGCUGCUGGCAUCAAGAGACGAGUUUUCAGUAGCAGGGGCCACGCGGAUGUUGAGAAAGAGGACCUCAUAAUUUUCAGCAUCUACUCUUUCUAAGAGCAACUUUGCAAUAACUGCUUUCCCAACUAUGCGUACCUAUAUACAUCCUGAGUAAAAACUGGAGCGUCCUAAAAGAGCCGUAUUUCAUAAGCCCUGUAAUCAGAAAAACGCAGGAGGCUGUCCUUACCCCCUUGAGACAAAUGAAGCGCUGUUUGUGCUCUUCAGGACUAUUCGCUUCUGCUUCUGACCAGGUGACAGGGGUCUGGCGGAGGGUGGGGCUUUAUGAACAGGGGCCAAGGGAAGAUGGUCCGUGGUGUGUUAUUAAUGGAGGGGCAGCCUGAGCCUUUUAAUAGAAUGGGAAAGUAUCUCAGUGCCAUUGGCUGACAUGUGGCAUAUUGUCACCUGGGGAGCCAAAGAGAAGCCAAAGUCUAGAGAUCUAGAUUCUAGACCGAGCUUUCCUGGAAACCCUCUGAGGGUGGGCCCUGAGGCAGACCCUUGGGUUAGCAGAAGAAAACCUUCUCCCAUGUUUGCCCAUACAAUCCCUCACAAGACCUGAGAUGAAAGGCAAUGGAUGGUACCAUCGUGACCUGUCACAGACACAUGCAUGUUACAUAUUUGUGAUUAUUACCUAUCAAACCCUCUCACCACCUCCUCACACCACGGAAAUCAAUCAGCCCUUUUGGGGAAGAGGAUGUGAAGAAAAGUCUCCCUCUAGAAUAACAACCUGGCCUCGUGGAAAAUGGCCUACAUUGGAGGACACCGAGUUAGUGUCGGAUUUCUACCAUCCCUGCCUUGGAUUAAAUGAAGAAACAGAAAUGCCAGCAAAUGAAGUGACUUCAAGCCCCAGAACCUUAGAGCCGAAAGAGCCCUUCCAAAUAGUGGAUUCCAGGUUCCUCGUUUUACAGGUGAGAAGACACUUCACAGAUUAGAUGGCACAUUCAAGGUCGCCAGGCUGAUAGUGAUGUAGAUGGAAACCUCCCUGUCAGACCACUGGGCAAGCGUUCUUUCCGUGAUCACGCCACAGUGCAGAGAUAAGAUGAGACCUGGGCUCGCUAACUCACCUCAAGCCAUCAACCAGCAUUCACGGAGCAUCUCCUAGUGUGUGCACUGAACCCUCGGCACCGGCUUCUCCAUCCACCUUUGUCCAAGGGACCAAAGGGUUGAACUGCAAUUCAGCUUGAAUUUAAAAAUCUAGAUAUAAUUAGAAUUAUUUUGCUUUCCAAUGUUGCACCAGUCUAGUCUUAGCUCCUUUUCUCCUUUGGGUAAAAUCUUUUUUUUUUUUUUAAUUUUUAAGGGUAAAGAACUUAAGAUAUGCAUACGUAGUGAUAUAUGUACAAAUAUACACAUACAAAAUAGUGUGGAAA